AGAACGCUGGCGGCGUGCCUAAUACAUGCAAGUCGAGCGGACUUAAAAAGCUUGCUUUUUAAGUUAGCGGCGGACGGGUGAGUAACACGUGGGCAACCUGCCUGUAAGACUGGGAUAACUUCGGGAAACCGGAGCUAAUACCGGAUAAUCCUUUCCUACUCAUGUAGGAAAGCUGAAAGACGGUUUACGCUGUCACUUACAGAUGGGCCCGCGGCGCAUUAGCUAGUUGGUGAGGUAACGGCUCACCAAGGCGACGAUGCGUAGCCGACCUGAGAGGGUGAUCGGCCACACUGGGACUGAGACACGGCCCAGACUCCUACGGGAGGCAGCAGUAGGGAAUCUUCCGCAAUGGACGAAAGUCUGACGGAGCAACGCCGCGUGAGUGAUGAAGGUUUUCGGAUCGUAAAACUCUGUUGUUAGGGAAGAACAAGUACGAGAGUAACUGCUCGUACCUUGACGGUACCUAACCAGAAAGCCACGGCUAACUACGUGCCAGCAGCCGCGGUAAUACGUAGGUGGCAAGCGUUGUCCGGAAUUAUUGGGCGUAAAGCGCGCGCAGGCGGUCCUUUAAGUCUGAUGUGAAAGCCCACGGCUCAACCGUGGAGGGUCAUUGGAAACUGGGGGACUUGAGUGCAGAAGAGAAGAGUGGAAUUCCACGUGUAGCGGUGAAAUGCGUAGAGAUGUGGAGGAACACCAGUGGCGAAGGCGACUCUUUGGUCUUGUAACUGACGCUGAGGCGCGAAAGCGUG
rnacentral:rRNA from 1 species